AAUUUCCCAGUGGGGUAUACUUCCAAUAACCUAAAGACCUCCCACUAGACCACCACAUUCUAUUGAUACUUCUCAACCAAGACUUUACACGUGGUCCUUCAGGGGGGACAGGGGGCAUUUACGACCUGAGCCAAAGAAGUCACUUACCUUCUAUUCCCCAAAUCCAAAUUAUCCCACCACCAUCCCACCAAGAAAAUUACGUAUUAGAAAAUUUCCUUUCCCUCUUCCCCAGAUGAUCUGUGGACACCAGUGGCACUGGCUGUGGGUGCUCCUAACUCCCAUGGGCAUUCUAUCUUAUGCCAAAAACCAAAUGGACCACACCUGUCCUCUUCAGUGCCUCUAGAGUAAAAAUCAAAGCUCUGAGUGAGCAUUGGCAGGGGAAUUUCUGAUAAGAUUUCCUUGCAAAGGGACCAUCUCUUAAUGGGAUUAGAGGGUCACAGUGGUCCCCCGAGACAGUGUGUUGGAAAACCAUUUUGGAAGAAAACACAACUGGGAGAGAAUGGUAAACAUGGCUGCUAAGAGACAACUUCCGACAUUGCCAUCGAUGCAGGGUGGCUCUAUUUCUGCCUUGACUGCCGAGGGAGUGGGCUGGUAUUUUGAGCACCCUGAUGAAGAAUUAGAGAGAAGUGUUAUUGGAGUGCACAAUGUUGACUUUGUCAUGUGCCCAGGCAUAGGGCAAUCAGACCACAGGGGAAUGGGGAGAGUGAUGGCUACACCCCACUUGCUGUGAGCAUCGACACUCCUAUUGACUCCUGUUGACAUGGUGGGGCUGCAGAGUCAAGUACCCUAACAAGAACAUGUGCUCCAAGCAACUACAUUUGCAAAGACUCAGAACUCUGGCUCAGGCUGGCUCAGGACCUAUGAGAAACAUGGGCCUCUGAAGAGGUGGAGAGACAGUUGGAUUAGAAAUAGCUCAGAUAUUGCCCAGACAGGUGGGCACUCUUGAGACUGCAAGGGAAAAAAAGAAAUAAAUAGCUCAGAUACAUGAAGCCAAAACAUUCCUGCUAAGUAGAAUUACUACAGCUAGGGUAGGAGCUGUGACCUUCCCAAGAGGUCACGAGAAUAUCCUGAAUUCUUUUCCUGGCCUUAAUUGUGUUGUCUUUGUUCAUUUUGAAGUCUCUGUUUAAACAGAGAUAUAAGUAGUGUCACGCAAUAAUAAAUUUCUUCAGCAGGC
ensembl:lncRNA LOC108350739 uncharacterized LOC108350739